rnacentral:rRNA from 1 species
AUACGGAGGGUGCGGGCGUUAAUCGGAAUUACUGGGCGUAAAGGGUGCGUAGGCGGCUUGAUAAGUCGGAUGUGAAAGCCCCGGGCUUAACCUGGGAAUUGCAUUCGAUACUGUCAGGCUAGAGUAUGUCAGAGGUUGGCGGAAUUCCUGGUGUAGCGGUGAAAUGCGUAGAUAUCAGGAGGAACACCAGUGGCGAAGGCGGCUAACUGGGACAAUACUGACGCUGAGGCACGAAAGCGUGGGUAGCAAACGGGAUUAGAAACCCUAGUAGUCC